rnacentral:lncRNA from 1 species
AUGAAAGCAGAACUGGAACACAGAUCAGUUACCUCUACUGCUAGGGUCAAAACUCUAGAAAUUCAAAGACAAGAUUGUUUCCCCCUAGUCACAAGCAAACAUUCAUCUGCAUCAGCACCACGUCCCUCUUGCAUCACUGCAGAAGUUACCAUGGCUUUCAUCAGGAGUAAGGACAGAUCUAGUCAGAACCAAAUUGAUAGCUUUUGCUUAGAAGACACGAGAAAAACAGGAGUGUUGCAUAGUGAACUGAGUUUUACUGGUAGAGCUGUGUGUGGGGAAGUGAGUCGAUUGCCUGCAUCUAUUAUGACUAGCCCAACCCAGUUCUGGAAUAACAAGAAUGUUGCAAGGCAGACAUCCUUCAGCAGGGCAGUGUGUGGAGGAGUGGGAUCAGUGCUAACCUCCAACAACGCGCUGAUCUCGUGGAACAUCUUAUUUAGCCACCAAGGUGAAGAAGAAGUGUACAGCAGAAGUGACACAGGAUCACUGAUACAAAUGCAUCUGCUGAGCCACAGCAUAAUGAGAAGCUGCAUCAUUAAGAACAACUGCAAGGUCUUGAAGGUGAUCAGAGCAUUGAGGAUAUAGGUAUCCAGCUGUGGUGUUGUCAAGAUGUCCUCAAGAGCACUUGUUCACACUGGCACUUUUUUUCUAAGAAGGAACCAAACUAAUGGGAACCUGAGGAAAUAUAAAUACAGUAAGUGGACUGCACAUUAGCUGUUUUUAUAGAAGCAAUAGAUAAGUUCCAUAAAAUGUACCUGCAGACCUUGAAAGGAAUUGUCUUCUCAGGGAGCUCUUCUACCUUCUUACAGUUUGGUGUACAAACACUGUUUUCAUCCAUAAUACAGAUUUCUCCUCUUCUACAUAUAUUUGGUAAUUGUUCCAACACUGCAGUAAGCUUAACUUCUCACAGCUGCAUCUUUUCAUAUUAGACAAAAAGAAGUACUUUGUGACUGGACAAUUUCUGAGCACUAGCUUAAGUAUUUGCAGUUCACUUACUGUAUUUAUAUUUCCCCAGGCUCCCACUAGUUUGAUUCCUUCUUAGUAAAAAUUGUGCUAUCAUUCCUCCAUGCUUUACUGGAGGCUGUACUGCAGAACACGCACACCAGCACGCGAAAUGGUCACAAAACAAAGAAUCAUAAAAUCAUAGAAUGUAGGAAAGGACCUUAGAGAUUAUCAAGUUCCAACCCAAGUGCCAUGGGCAGGGUUGCCACCUACUAGAUCAGGCUUCCCAGGGAAAGAAUGAUGUAAUGAAUUAGAAUGUUGAAAUGAAUGAUACAUCCCAACUUUGCUGAUUGAGAGGUAAUGCUGAGGCAGUGUAUCCGUCUGAACGCUUCUCCAUGAGGUCUCUCACAAUUGUGUUGGUGGUCUUUAUCCUCCAGAGAAGAAUUCAGAUGUCAUCAGGUUGAAGCUGGCUUUGAAUGUACUAGUUCGUGCACAUCAUGCAGGCUCCUGGGACUAUUCUGCCUAAGCCUGCGUGUGGACUGUUUUGCUUUAUUCCCUUAAUAUUGUGCAAUGUGUAUCAAUUUAUACUGCACAUAAAACUAGAAAAACAAACAAACAAAAAAACGUAUUUUUUGUUUCCCAGGCAAUAGUCUAUCCAUUCAAAUUAAUCACUGAUUUCAAGCUGAAAAUAGCCUGAGUUAGCACUGCAUUGAGCCUUCCCCCUGUCCUGGUUUCAGUCCAGACAACAUUAAUACCACACUGAUGGUUUGACUGCUGCUGAGUGAUAGCUGUGUACCUGGCACCCUUGGCAGCAGGCAGGCUGCAUUACAAGCUGUGUUGGGCCACAGGUUGGACACGCCUCAUCUAACGGUUCAUAUUUGCAAAGCACUAUGUCCAAAUUCUAUAAUUUUGACAAAAAACAAUCCAUCCUUCUUUCUAGACUUUUGUUAAGAACUAUGAUAAUAUCUGGUUUUAAACGAGAGACAUUUUUAACAAAACACUAGCUUUGUUCAUUUUUCUCAUUAGUUAGAAAUGUGUGUGAUUUGUUGUUGUUGUUGUUUUUCUUAAAGCCAUAGCACUGGAGUUAAGCAAUUUCAUGGAAAUCCCAGUUGCUGUUUGAUAAAGAAGGAGAUAAUUGCUGUCACUCAGGGCAGUGGAGCAAGUCCUGAGAACACAAAACUGUCAAGAAAAGAAAGAAGGGGAAAAAAGCAUUAUGUAUAUUUAUUUUUUCGAAUGGUCAGAGUAGAAUAGGGAAUUUUAACAAAAGCAACGGCCAGAUUCUGCACCAGGGAAGGGGCAACCCUGGCUAUACACAUACAUUGGAGAUAAGACACAGGAGAGCAACCCUGCUGAAAGAGAUUUGGAGGCUUUGGUUGACAGCAAGUUGCAAAUGAAUCAAGAGUGUGCUCAGGCAGCCUGGAAGGCCAGGGUAUUGUGGGGCACAUCAAGCAUAGCAUGGCUAGCCAGUCAAGGGAAGGGACAGUCCCACUCUACACUGCACUGGUGCAGCCUCACCUUGAGUGAGUACUGUGCAUAGUUUUGGUUCACAGUACACAGUGACAAUGGGUGUUAUUCAGCUGAAUAAUAUAAUUGUGCUUUUCAAAUAAAAUGCUGUACGCAUUCAUAUGUUCAGUGAUGCGACACAUAGCAGCUACUAGCAGUUUUUCACUCAGUAAAAAACGUGGCUUUGCUUUAUAUUUAUUACUCUUUAGUGGUAAAGAAUUGUUAAUAGCUUCCCUGCCAGACAGUGUUAUGGAUCUGACAAAACUUCAUUGCUCUUCUUCUGUUUUUCACUGUAACAAAGAUCUCUCAGAUUGUACAAUUUCAGGAGGUACUGUAUCACAUUUGAAAACUGUGCUAUGCUUAUUCUGCCUUUCCACACAUUACUUAAUUCCACGCACAGUUCUUUGAGACAGUUUCAUGUAUUUUAAAAAUGAGUAAUGGACUCUUAGCCUGUUCCUCAGUAUAAACACUUUGUUUCUUCCCAAAAUAAUCUGACCUCCAGUUCUUCAAGAACCAGUGUCUUACACUCAGCACUUCUUUAAGAGUUUCCUAUAAAUUAAUAUUUUUUUUUCUUGCUUUGAACAUCUGAGAUGCAAGAUCCUCUUUGUCUUGAAACUUAACAGAGAAGUCACCUACUCAAUGUAAGCUCUGGACAGCCUUCACUUUACUCACAUUCAUUUUAAUUCCCACAAAUAUGCCCUGUAUUUUAUUUCAGUGCCUUGUUGCUAUUAGUUGACUUUGCCUUGUGGAACUUUCCCAAGUCUAUGACUAUUUAUCAGCAUUUGAAUUAUAGUAGCACCUCGACUUAAUGUGGGAGAAGUGGCCACUAACAUUCAGAUUGGAUAGCAAUUGUGAGCUUAUUGUCAUGUACCCUUGUUCAGAGUUUUAAAGGCCUUUGGCACUCUAUUGCUUAAUCUUCCAGCUAUUCAUUUACACCUACAGAACCAGGAAGCCAUGAUGUCAGUUCCAUCUGUUUCCUGGCAUAGGUAAUCUGUUACAGUGCACUACUUUCACCUACCAUGGCAUGUCUGGUGCAGAUAACUGAUAAUCCAGUUUGGGAAUAAUCUCAUGUUCCAACCUGUGCCACUCAAGAAUUGAGUGAUGAAGCCCUGUUUACUUUCUUAAAGACUGAGAUGUAACAAACCUAGCAGAAGGAUUUAAUGUAUUCAAACUGGGUGGCUGAAUUUCUGUACGUAGAUUGCAAGCCUGCAAUCAACUUUCUCUGUAAUGUUUUUCACAGACUUAAAAACAUGCUUUUUUUUUUUUUGUACUCUUUAUUCCAAAUUGUUCCUUUCAAUCUGAUGAUAAUGGCAUGCAGGAAAAGAAAAAAUCUCUAAGGAGAUGCUCAAAAAGCAAGCGCUACUUGCUUUAUUUGUUAGCCAUGAGUAGCAGUAAAUUUACAGUUGUGAAAAAAGGACAGAAUUCACAGAGCUCUGAAGGUGUAAGGGGGAAGUGUCAAGAAAACAGCUGGUGAAAACUGUGAAACUCUUUGUAAAGAAAUAUGGCAACUGAAACUUCCAGUGUUUGGCUACAGAAAGAUAAGCAUUAGGUUAGUUGGCAUUAGUUUAUGUAAGAUUUGCCUUCAGUAGGAUUUCAAAAUCUAAUACUCAAUUAGUAGCUUAGAUCUGAGUUGUCCCAUAUAAAGUAGUCAAGACAAAAUAAUUUUUACUUCAGAUUAACUAAUCUGAAGUCUGAAGACACAGCUCAGUUGCCUAAAAUCAAACUGACGUUAAUGAUUUGUAGCUGGAGCUUGGCAGUAUGUGACAAAGUUGGCCUAGACCUGAUUGUAUUAUUAUUAUUAGAGAAACAUGAGUUGCAUCUUCUGUUUAUUGAGGCCCAUGCUUGCUUAAUGAGCACUGUCAUGGUUUCUGACCGUGGAAAUAAACUUAUGAAUCUACUGCCUCUUCCAGGAUCAGAAGAGGGGGAAAACAGCAAGGACAGAGACAGCAACCCCAAUUGCUUUGUCAAUAACACAGACUUUUUUUAAAAUUUUCUCUUAAAAGCAGACUCAGAGGUAGAUGUUCACCUCCCAGCCCAUUUAAGGUGUGGUCUGUCUUGCAGUGGGAUUCAACAUUGGCAGCAAGUUGAGCAUCAGUCAACAGUGCUUCCAGGCAGCCAGGAAGGCCAACUGUAUCCUGUAGUGCAUCACGGAAGGCAUGGAUAUGUGGCUGAGGGAAGGGAUUGUACCACCCUACACUGUGCUGGUACUCACCUUGAAUACAAAAGGGACAUAAAAUUAUUAGAGAGUGUCCAAAGGAGGGCUACAAAGAAGGUAGAGGGUCUAGAGGGGAAGAAAUAAGAGGAGCAGCUGAGGUCCUUUGGUUUGUUCAGCCCAGAGAAGAUGAUGCUGAGAAGAGAUCUCAUGGCAGCUACAGCUCCUCAAGAGGGGAGUGGAGGGGCAAUGCUGACCUCUGCUCUCUGGUGACAGCAACAGGGCCUGAGGAAACAGCAUGGAGCUGCAAUGGGGAGAGUGAUGUUGGAUAUCAGGAAAAGGUUUUUCACUGUGGGUGGUCAGGCACUGGAACAGGCUCCCAGGGCAGUGGUCAUGGUGCCAAACUGCCAGAGUUCAAGAAGCAUCUGGACAGUGCUCUCAGACAUAUGGUCUGAUUUUUGGGGGGUCCUGUGUGGAGCUAGGAGUUGGACUCAAUGAUCUUUGUGGAUCCCUUCCAACCUGGGAUAAUAAUACCAUGUUUCUAUUAACUUUUUAAAUAUAGGGUCAAGCUUUUAGUAUUUAUUGAAAAAUAAUUGUUCUCCCACAGUGCUGCUUCUGAAGUUGUUAAGGUCACUGAGAUAUCAUCAGUGCUAUCAAUAAGAUUAAUAGUGU